AGAGUUUGAUCCUGGCUCAGAUUGAACGCUGGCGGCAGGCUUAACACAUGCAAGUCGAGCGGUAGCACAGGGGAGCUUGCUCCCCGGGUGACGAGCGGCGGACGGGUGAGUAAUGUCUGGGAAACUGCCUGAUGGAGGGGGAUAACUACUGGAAACGGUAGCUAAUACCGCAUAACGUCGCAAGACCAAAGAGGGGGACCUUCGGGCCUCUUGCCAUCAGAUGUGCCCAGAUGGGAUUAGCUAGUAGGUGGGGUAAUGGCUCACCUAGGCGACGAUCCCUAGCUGGUCUGAGAGGAUGACCAGCCACACUGGAACUGAGACACGGUCCAGACUCCUACGGGAGGCAGCAGUGGGGAAUAUUGCACAAUGGGCGCAAGCCUGAUGCAGCCAUGCCGCGUGUGUGAAGAAGG
rnacentral:rRNA from 1 species